rnacentral:rRNA from 1 species
AACGAACGCUGGCGGCAUGCCUAACACAUGCAAGUCGAACGAUUGCCUUCGGGUGAUAGUGGCGCACGGGUGCGUAACGCGUGGGAAUCCGCCCUUAGGUUCGGAAUAACAGCUGGAAACGGCUGCUAAUACCGGAUGAUAUCGCGAGAUCAAAGAUUUAUCGCCUGAGGAUGAGCCCGCGUUGGAUUAGGUAGUUGGUGGGGUAAAGGCCUACCAAGCCGACGAUCCAUAGCUGGUCUGAGAGGAUGAUCAGCCACACUGGGACUGAGACACGGCCCAGACUCCUACGGGAGGCAGCAGUGGGGAAUAUUGGACAAUGGGCGCAAGCCUGAUCCAGCAAUGCCGCGUGAGUGAUGAAGGCCCUAGGGUUGUAAAGCUCUUUUACCCGGGAAGAUAAUGACUGUACCGGGAGAAUAAGCCCCGGCUAACUCCGUG